UACGUAGGGCGCAAGCGUUGUCCGGAAUUAUUGGGCGUAAAGAGCUCGUGGGCGGUCUGUCGCGUCCGUUGUGAAAACUCGAGGCUCAACCUUGGGCUUGCAGUGGGUACGGGCAGACUAGAGUGCGGUAGGGGUGACUGGAAUUCCUGGUGUAGCGGUGAAAUGCGCAGAUAUCAGGAGGAACACCGAUGGCGAAGGCAGGUCUCUGGGCCGAUACUGACGCUGAGGAGCGAAAGCGUGGGGAGCGAACAGG
rnacentral:rRNA from 1 species